AAUUAAGGAUCAAAGGCUACGAGCGCAGCGUCCUGCUGCAGCGCCUUUUUGACCCGCAUCGUGCGGG
rnacentral:sRNA from 1 species